GAUCCUGGCUCAGAACGAACGCUGGCGGCGUGGAUAAGACAUGCAAGUCGAGCGAGAUUUUUUUCUGUAGCAAUACAGGGAAAAGUCUAGCGGCGAACGGGUGCUUAACACGUGGGCAACCUGCCGAGCAGUGGGGGAUAGCUCGCCGAAAGGCGAAUUAAUACCGCAUGUGAUCAGAGUGGACAUCCAUUCAAAAUCAAAGUCGGGGCAACCUGACGCUUCUUGAGGGGCCCGCGGCCUAUCAGCUAGUUGGUGAGGUAACGGCCCACCAAGGCUUUGACGGGUAGCUGGUCUGAGAGGACGACCAGCCACACUGGGACUGAGACACGGCCCAGACACCUACGGGUGGCAGCAGUCGAGAAUUUUUCUCAAUGGGGGAAACCCUGAAGGAGCGACGCCGCGUGGAGGAUGAAGGUCUUCGGG
rnacentral:rRNA from 1 species